rnacentral:lncRNA from 1 species
CGUGGGGCGGGCGGAAGCACCCGGCGGGGUGGGCGCGCCCGGCCUCUGGCCGCGAGUUGACUACUGCGGCGUGAGUCAGUGGCAGCGCCGGGACCCCGCGUCCCCGCGUGGAGUCUUCGCUCAGAACAGGUUCCACCUUGGACCAAGAUGAGGAGCCAUUCAGAGUAGCUGCUGCCUCUGGAAAGGUCCCCAGUGUCCUGGGCAGCCCAGCGGGUGAGUCAGGAGGUGGGGGGCAGGGAGCUGGGUUGGGUGUGGUUGGCUGAGCCCCAGCUUUGAAGUGCGGGAGGCUUCGUGGAGGCCAGACCUGAGGUCCCAGUUUUCAUUUUGAAAAUAGGCAGAGAGACAGGGGAGAGG